rnacentral:tRNA from 1 species
GCGUUGUUGGUGUAGUGGUAACAUAGUUGCCUUCCAAGCAAUUGCCCCGGGUUCGAUUCCCGGACGACGCA